rnacentral:rRNA from 1 species
CCGCGUGAGUGAAGAAGGCCUUCGGGUUGUAAAGCUCUUUCAGCUGGAACGAAACGGUACGCUCUAACAUAGUGUGCUAAUGACGGUACCGGCAGAAGAAGCACCGGCUAACUACGUGCCAGCAGCCGCGGUAAUACGUAGGGUGCGAGCGUUAAUCGGAAUUACUGGGCGUAAAGCGUGCGCAGGCGGAUUGUUAAGCAAGACGUGAAAUCCCCGGGCUUAACCUGGGAAUGGCGUUUUGAACUGGCAGUCUAGAGUGCGUCAGAGGGGGGUGGAAUUCCACGUGUAGCAGUGAAAUGCGUAGAGAUGUGGAGGAACACCGAUGGCGAAGGCAGCCCCCUGGGAUGACACUGACGCUCAUGUACGAAAGCGUGGGUAGCAAACAGGAUUAGAUACCCUGGUAGUCCACGCCCUAAACGAUGUCAACUGGUUGUUGGGGGAGUGAAAUCCCUUAGUAACGAAGCUAACGCGUGAAGUUGACCGCCUGGGGAGUACGGUCGCAAGAUUAAAACUCAAAUGAAUUGACGGA